rnacentral:tRNA from 1 species
GGUCCUGUAACUCAGCGGUAGAGUAUCUGCCUUUUAAGCAGAGAGUCCCGCGUUCAAAUCGCGGCAGGAUCACCA